rnacentral:rRNA from 1 species
GUGCCAGCCGCCGCGGUAAUACGGAGGGGGUUAGCGUUGUUCGGAAUUACUGGGCGUAAAGCGCACGUAGGCGGACCAUCAAGUUGGGGGUGAAAUCCCGGGGCUCAACCCCGGAACUGCCUCCAAAACUGGUGGUCUGGAGUUCGAGAGAGGUGAGUGGAAUUGCGAGUGUAGAGGUGAAAUUCGUAGAUAUUCGCAGGAACAUCAGUGGCGAAGGCGGCUCACUGGCUCGAUACUGACGCUGAGGUGCGAAAGUGUGGGGAGCAAACAGGAUUAGAUACCCCGGUAGUCC